ACGUAGGGCGCAAGCGUUGUCCGGAAUUAUUGGGCGUAAAGAGCUCGUAGGCGGUUUGUCGCGUCUGCUGUGAAAGCCCGGGGCUCAACCCCGGGUCUGCAGUGGGUACGGGCAGACUAGAGUGCAGGUAGGGGAAGACUGGAAUUCCUGGUGUAGCGGUGAAAUGCGCAGAUAUCAGGAGGAACACCGAUGGCGAAGGCAGGUUCUCUGGGCUGUUACUGACGCUGAGGAGCGAAAGCAUGGGGAGCGAACAGGAUUAGACUACCCGGC
rnacentral:rRNA from 1 species